rnacentral:rRNA from 1 species
CAGUAGCCGCGGUAAUACGAGGGGGGCAAGCGUUGUUCGGAAUUAUUGGGCGUAAAGGGUGCGAAGGCGGUUUGAUAAGUCAUCUGUGAAAUCUCUGGGCUCAACCCAGAGUCUGCAGGCGAAACUGUCGGGCUUGAGUAUGGGAGAGGUGAGUGGAAUUUCCGGUGUAGCGGUGAAAUGCGUAGAUAUUGGAAGGAACACCUGUGGCGAAAGCGGCUCACUGGACCAUAACUGACGCUGAUGCACGAAAGCUAGGGGAGCAAACAGGAUUAGAUACCCCAGUAGUCCCUGUCUCUUAUAC